AGCAUAGUUUGAAGCUCAGCAAGAGUCCCCAUCUCACAGUGGACAGUUCAGUUGUUUUCCCUCCCUAAUGAAGAGAUGAGAGGUAUCUCAUCUCAACUACUUGAGUGUGAGAUUUACUACCAUAUGGAAAGGAAGCAUUUCAUGGCCCAUCCUAUGUAAAAUCUCCCCUUCUCUUCUUCUUAAGCAUCUACUUGUGACUCUGGAGAACAAUCUGGAAGCACCAAAUUUAUUACUAAAGUGAAACUCCAUAUUUGUUUUGAAUCUUGGGUUACUCAUUUGUUUUGAAGGAUUUGUUUGAAGCUAUUAGUCUGUGACUGUUUUACAAGGCCUGAUGGAGUUGUCUAUACACACUUAGCACUUAGUUUCUGUUGAUAAUGCUGUUAAAUGAAGUUAGUUCUCUAAUAAGUGUAACAGUGAAAUCAAAUCUCUCUUCCCCACAGGCUAAGGCAUGAUGCAUUCCUCCAGCAGAAUGGUGGUGUCUAUCAGUCAGGGGAUUUGUAAUCAGAUCUGCAAUCAGACAGGCAGAGCAAUGAAUGAGAAUUAUGUGGGAUAAACCAUGACAGGUGGAAGGUAUAUCCACUCUGCUCCCCUACCCUACCCUCAAUGGAUUUCAUGGAAUGAAAUGAGCACAGAGAGGUGCUCAUGAAGGAAAAACAAGUCAUCAAAAGGCCACUCUUGUGAACAAUAAUAAUAGUCAAUGCUUAUUUAACACUUACUCGUUGCAGUUACUGUUCUGUAUUCUUUGGUGCAUCUUAGAACAUUAACCCUUACCCCAUUUAAUUUACAUUUAUACUCUCAGUAAGUGGAGGAGCUAAGGUUUGGGCCUAGGUGGUCUGACCCAGGAGCCAUGUUCUUAUACCUGGAAAGCGAG
rnacentral:lncRNA from 12 species